rnacentral:lncRNA from 1 species
CACUUGGCAAAAAUAAAAUCGUUGGAUGGAGAAGUGAUCAUUUUCACACAUAUUAGGGUUAGAAACUUGUAGGGUUUUACUUUCACUUUCUCGAACAACUUCUAGAAUUCUCUAUUCUCUCUCUGUAAUUUCUUUCUUCGUGAAUCUCUGAAAUCUCGUGUAAUUUUUGGGAGUUUGAGAGUUGAUGAACUCUUGUGUGAGUCCAUCCUGUUUGUAACAAGGCCAUGUGUUGGCCGUGAACUGAACUCUGCGUUCUGUGUAUUGUUGAAGCUGUUCUUGGCCGGUUUUUUAGUGGAUUCGAGCUUAUUCCUUUGUGGAUGCUCAACGGGGAUUAGACAACUGAGAAGUUGUUGAACCUCGAGGCUUAGGCCGAAAAAUCGCUGUGUUCUUAUUUUUUGUGUUUUUCAGAUCUACACUUGAUCUUGUAUAUUUUUGCGAUUUCUUGCGUCUUUGACUUCGAUUCUGAACCUAUAGUAUGGAGAUCGACCUGAUCCCAG